ACGGGGGCAACCCUGGUGGCGAGUGGCGGACGGGUGAGUAAUGCAUCGGAACGUGCCCUGAAGUGGGGGAUAACGCAGCGAAAGCUACGCUAAUACCGCAUAUUCUGUGAGCAGGAAAGCAGGGGAUCGCAAGACCUUGCGCUUUGGGAGCGGCCGAUGUCGGAUUAGCUAGUUGGUGGGGUAAAGGCCUACCAAGGCGACGAUCCGUAGCGGGUCUGAGAGGAUGAUCCGCCACACUGGGACUGAGACACGGCCCAGACUCCUACGGGAGGCAGCAGUGGGGAAUUUUGGACAAUGGGCGGAAGCCUGAUCCAGCCAUGCCGCGUGAGUGAAGAAGGCCUUCGGGUUGUAAAGCUCUUUCGGCGGGGAAGAAAUUGCUUGGGUUAAUACCCUGAGUAGAUGACGGUACCCGAAUAAGAAGCACCGGCUAACUACGUGCCAGCAGCCGCGGUAAUACGUAGGGUGCGAGCGUUAAUCGGAGUUACUGGGCGUAAAGCGUGCGCAGGCGGUUUUGUAAGUCAGAUGUGAAAUCCCCGGGCUCAACCUGGGAACUGCAUUUGAGACUGCAAGACUGGAGUUUGGCAGAGGGGGGUGGAAUUCCACGUGUAGCAGUGAAAUGCGUAGAGAUGUGGAGGAACACCGAUGGCGAAGGCAGCCCCCUGGGCCAAUACUGACGCUCAUGCACGAAAGCGUGGGGAGCAAACAGGGUUAGAUACCCUGGUAGUCCACGCCCUAAACGAUGUCAACUAGGUGUUGGGAGGGUUAAACCUUUUAGUGCCGUAGCUAACGCGUGAAGUUGACCGCCUGGGGAGUACGGCCGCAAGGCUAAAACUCAAAGGAAUUGACGGG
rnacentral:rRNA from 1 species